rnacentral:rRNA from 1 species
UACAGAGGGUGCAAGCGUUGUUCGGAAUCAUUGGGCGUAAAGGGCGUGUAGGCGGUCUGUUAAGUCAUGUGUGAAAUCUCGGAGCUUAACUCCGAAACUGCAUUCGAUACUGCCGUGCUUGAGGACUGGAGAGGAGACUGGAAUUUACGGUGUAGCGGUGAAAUGCGUAGAUAAUCGUAAGGAAGACCAGUGGCGAAGGCGG